CCCUUGCACAAUUCUGUGCCAGAGAGAAGUCCAGUUGCAAGACAAACACCAUCAGCAAACGUGUUCACAUUAGGAUGAGCUAGAGGGGGAUUAUCACAAAGUUCUGGGCCAACAAAUGGAUUAAGGGAAAUUAAUUCGCAAGGGAGAAAAACUUCAAAUGUGCAUGGAAUAAAUCUUCCAAGGGAGCAAGAAAAUGGCAGUACUCCAACUAGAUACUCCCAUCGAAGACUUGGAAUUGCU